GAUUCUGGCUCAGGAUGAACGCUAGCGACAGGCCUAACACAUGCAAGUCGAGGGGCAGCACAAGGAGCAAUCUGAGGUGGCGACCGGCGCACGGGUGAGUAACACGUAUGCAACCUGCCUGUAAGCGGGGAAUAACCCGUUGAAAGACGGACUAAUACCGCAUAAUACUAAAUUACUGCAUGGUAAUUUAUUUAAACAUUUAUGGCUUACAGAUGGGCAUGCGCAUGAUUAGCUAGUUGGAGAGGUAACGGCUCCCCAAGGCAACGAUCAUUAGGGGUUCUGAGAGGAAGGUCCCCCACACUGGUACUGAGACACGGACCAGACUCCUACGGGAGGCAGCAGUGAGGAAUAUUGGUCAAUGGACGAGAGUCUGAACCAGCCAAGUCGCGUGAAAGGAAGAAGGAUCUAUGGUUCGUAAACUUCUUUUGCAGGGGAAUAAAGUGCAGGACGUGUCCUGUUUUGUAUGUACCCUGAGAAUAAGGAUCGGCUAACUCCGUGCCAGCCGCAGC
rnacentral:rRNA from 1 species